GUUCUUUCAUAUAAAUACACUUUUUAUCAAUUAAUAUUCAUAUUUAUCAUUUACGUUACUUCAAUAUGCAAAUGUAUCGACUAAUAAGGUAGACGUUAAAUUAUUAGACCCUCUCACAACUCAUUAUAUGAUCCCAUCUCAAAAUAAGUGAUAUGAUAUCCAAUCAUUAAAAUAUAAAAUUCUGAAUCCAUCUCGAUAUUUAUUAACCAUGUGAUCACCAACCUUUCUUGAAAUCCAAAUAAGCUUGGUAGACUUGAUUUGAAGUAGGAAGUGACUUGGAUACUGAGUCUCUAUUCAAACACCUUUCUCCCCACAUCACUAACUUGGGGCAUUGUAUUUCAAUUGUGUUGAAAUUUGCAAAGGUCUUGAAGACAAUGAACCAAUUGUAGAAAGGAACAAGUGCAAUGUCUACAAAUCCAAAUACAUCUCCUCCAAAAUAAAGUUUAUCUCCAAGUUCUUCUUCCAAAAACUUUGAACAUUCUACAAGUUCUUUCUUGCCAUUUUCUUGCUCUUCAAUUUGCCCCAUCCAUACCUUUACACUUGACCCAUGUACCUUUUUAUUGAUAAAGUCAACCAAGAACCUAGCUUUAGCUCUUUGAUAAGGUUCAUAG
rnacentral:misc_RNA from 1 species